rnacentral:rRNA from 1 species
CUCAGUGAGCACUGGCCCGCUUGAUCUCGUCUGAUCUGAAGCUAAGCAGGAUUAGACGUGCUUAGUACUUGAACGGGAGACCGCUGGAAAUACCAUGGUACCACAGUGG